AAAAAGACAUACCUUAAGUUUUUGUUUCUAAUAUUUAACUGUCCGUCUUAUAUAAAUGUUUUUUAUAAUUAGUAUUUUCAUUGUUGUUAUAUGAUAAAACAUGAUUAAUACUUUAUCCGUGACUUGUCUUUUUAAUUUUUUUUCAUAAUUUUUUUAAAUAAGAUGGAUGGUCAAACGUUGGACACGAAAACCUAAAGUUUGUCUUUUU
rfam:Oryza glumipatula chromosome 6, whole genome shotgun sequence.